rnacentral:rRNA from 1 species
GAUGAACGCUGGCGGCGUGCCUAAUACAUGCAAGUCGAGCGAACAGAUGAGGAGCUUGCUCCUUUGACGUUAGCGGCGGACGGGAGAGUAACACGUGGAUAAUCCACUUAUAUGACUGGGAUAAUUACGGGAAAGCGGAGAUAAUAGCGGAUAAUCUAUUGAACCGUAUGGUUCAAUAGUGAAUGACGGUUUUGGUGUCACUAAUCGAUGGUUCCGAGCCGCAUUAGCUAGUUGGUAGGGUAACGGCUUACCAAGGCAACGAUGCGUAGCCGACCUGAGAGGGGGAUCGCCGACACUGGAAGUGAGACGCGGUCCAGAGGCCUACGAUAGGCAGCAGUAUGGAAUCGGCCGCAGUGGGCGAAAGCCUGACAGAACAGGGGCGCGUGAGUGAUGAAGGUCUUCGGAUCGUGAAGCUCUGUUAUGGGGUAAGAACAGAUGUGGAAGUAGCUGUACACGGCUUGACGGUACCUAAUCAGAAAGCCACGGCUAACUACGUG